AUUGAACGCUGGCGGCAGGCCUAACACAUGCAAGUCGAGCGGAUGAGGGAAGCUUGCUUUUCGAUUCAGCGGCGGACGGGUGAGUAAUGCCUGGGAAUCUGCCUGUUAGUGGGGGAUAACUCGGGGAAACUCGGGCUAAUACCGCAUACGUCCUACGGGAGAAAGUGGGGGAUCUUCGGACCUCACGCUAACAGAUGAGCCUAGGUCGGAUUAGCUAGUAGGUGAGGUAAUGGCUCACCUAGGCGACGAUCCGUAACUGGUCUGAGAGGAUGAUCAGUCACACUGGAACUGAGACACGGUCCAGACUCCUACGGGAGGCAGCAGUGGGGAAUAUUGGACACUGGGCGAAAGCCUGAUCCAGCCAUGCCGCGUGUGUGAAGAAGGUCUUCGGAUUGUAAAGCACUUUAAGUUGGGAGGAAGGGUAUUCACCUAAUACGUGGGUACUUUGACGUUACCAACAGAAUAAGCACCGGCUAACUCUGUGCCAGCAGCCGCCGUAAAAC
rnacentral:rRNA from 1 species